rnacentral:rRNA from 1 species
AGCUCUCCGAGUGGUGUGGAUGUUUAUUGGGCCUAAAGCAUCCGUAGCUGGCUAAGUUAGUCCCCUGUUAAAUCCACCGAAUUAAUCGUUGGAUUGCGGGGGAUACUGCUUGGCUAGGGGACGAGAGAGGCAGACGGUAUUUCCGGGGUAGGGGUGAAAUCCUAUAAUCCCGGGAAGACCACCAGUGGCGAAGGCUGUCUGCUAGAACGCGCCCGACGGUGAGGGAUGAAAGCUGGGGGAGCGAACC